rnacentral:lncRNA from 1 species
UUUAACAAAACAAACACCCAGCCAUUUGAAAUAUCUAGUGAAGACUGCUAGUUAGUUCUUUUCACGUUUGAAUGAGCUUUUCUCAUGUGUGCCUCAGUUUGACUCAAGUUUCUCAAUCUGUUUUUCUUUUUUUCUUUUUAACAUUCCUGGCGUUAUGUCAAUAGAACACUAUAAAACAGCAGUCUUAACACAAUCAGCAGAACAUCUGAGUCACAACUAAGACCCAACCCAGGAAUUUGAAAUGCAAAUAAACCAUUUUUUUCCUGAAUUUUCUAAAUCAGAAGUACAUAGUAAAUACAAUCCAGUAAUACAAAUGGUUAAAGAGACUGGAACUUUAACUUAAGCUUUGUUGUUUUUUUUUUUACAGUGUUGAAUUCAUAAAACACUUUCUGCAUGAUGCUGUUUACUUUCAAUAAUUUGAAAGCUAUCUCUAACCCUUGUGAGUCAGAAGAACAGACUGAAUCAGAAAUGCAAUAACUUUGAUCACAUAACAGCACAAUGAUCAUAUGUUAAGCUUUUUUUCUUUUACUAAUAUUGAAUGCAAACUCCAAGAGAUGGUGAAGGACAAGGAAGCCGGGCACGCUACAGUCCAUGGGGUCUCAAAGAGUCAGACACGACUUAGUGACUGAACAACAAUAACGAGACUAUAAGAUAAAAAUAAAAUACUAAACAAGGCAUCACCCAGAUCACCCAGUCUUCUUAGAGAUUCUU